GGCAACAGUAGGGGAAAUAAGAAGGAGGAGUAUGGAAAGAAGGCAUUUUAAUUUUGCUUCAAACCUAGCUUGACUUCGCUUUGUGGCUGUCUUGUGGUUAGAAACAGUGGUGUUGCCUGUCUGGGGCCCUAAACUUGGGAACUGAAGCAAGCUGUUAGGCCCCAAGAGUGAUCAGCGUAAAACAAACCAUGUAAUUGGCCCGUACUCACCCACUGAUGAAACAGCAGAACAGAAUAGUACCAAACUACCAUGUGAUGUAGCUCAUCCCUUAGGAGUAGACUUCGUCUGAAGAAAUAGAGGUCAGAGUCUAACCUGGACUGUGGUGACUGAGACACAGUGAAUCUCAAAACAAGACAAGUAAUGACUUGACAGAAAGCACUGAGAACAUCCUUUCAAAAUGGAAUUGGAAUUCAGUCAGCUGAGAAGGAAAUGCUUCCCUCCGUCUUUACAAUAACCUUGGCUGGUGUCCUCUCUCGCUACCAAUCAUUAUGACACUGCUGGCAAAAUUAUGUCCACUGGGCAAGCUUGACCUUUUAGAGGAAGCAGUGCAGGCAGCACACACGUUUUUCAUGGCCAACCCUGAGCACAUGGAAAUUCAGCAGAGCAUUGAGAAUUAUAGGACCAUGGCUGGCGGGGAAUCAUUCCAGCUGGUAGACCGAGAGGCCAGACCACACUUGGAAAGCUACAGUGCAGCUCUGAAACAUUAUGAGGCCGAUGAUUUUGAAGUGGCUGUCAAGUACUUCGAAAAGGCUUUGAGAGACUAUUUCAGUGAAGAUACGGAGUGCCGGAUCCUAUGUGAGGGGCCUCAGAGAUUUGAAGAGUACGACUACUUACGGUAUAAAGCCGGUCUCUAUGAAACCAUUGCAGAUCACUACAUGCAGGUGCUGGUUUGUCAGCAUGAGUGCGUGAGGGAGCUCGCCACUCGCCCCGGCCGCCUCUCACCCAUUGAGAACUUCCUUCCUCUGCAUUACGACUACCUACAGUUCGCCUACUACCAAGUUGGUGAUUAUGUAAAAGCUUUGGAAUGUGCCAAGGCCUACCUCCUCUUCCAUCCUGAUGAUGUGGAUGUGCUGGACAAUGUAGAUUACUAUGAAAGUCUGAUGGAGGCUGGAAUGGACUCAGCAUCUGUUGAGGCUAGAGAGGAUGCGGCAAUGUUUGUGAAACGUCAUAAACUUGAAGCUGAACUAAUAAAAUCAGCUGCAGAGGGUCUUGGAUUCUCAUACACUGAACCAAAUUAUUGGAUCAGAUAUGGAGGACGACAAGAUGAGAAUCGGUAAGUCUUGUAUUCGCAUUUUUUUGCGCCUUUUCAUUGAAAAGAAAUACAGAACAUAUUAUAAGGAACUUAGCCGUGUGACACUGGUAAACUACACACACACACACACACACACACACUCACAAACAGUUUUGUGCUACAAAUUAAGAGAC
rnacentral:lncRNA from 1 species